ACGAGCCGCCGCCUCCUCCUGGCGCCCCGUCCUCCCCAGAGAUCCCCGAAGUCACCGGCACCCGCCAGUCUCCGCCCCGCCCCCCCUCCAGCAGCGUCCUCCACCGUCACCUUUCCAGGAACCUCUGGUCAGCGGUCACCGACUCAAGCGGAGCUCCCCAAAGAAGCCUCAAGCCCUCACUCCCUGGGGUCUGACCAACACCGUUCUCCCCGGUGAAUCCCCCCUCCAAAAUAUAAGUCAAGCCUCCGGUUUCCCCUGGUAUGCUGCUUGGUAAACGACUUUGGUGUUUUGUGAACCCAUCAGAAGACGGUUCACAUCCUCUAAACCAGCCCAGCCCGGAACGGCCCCUCUUAGUGACCAGUGCAGUUUCCCAGCCCUGCAAGCAUCUGCAUUCCAGGCUUGACCAGGCUUCAAUUCUCACCCACAUCCCUGGGUUGUGAACCUAACAAAGACGCUUGUCGGAUUGUCUUGGACAGGGAUGAACCAUCAAGCUGCCUCCAGCCCAGGUUUCAUUUCCCAAUGUCUCUGCCACCCUUCCCCCAUGCCAGAGCCCUCCACACCAGCUCUAACUUUAUGACUCAGAGCCAUUUGACCGAAUUCCACUGCUGCUUACCAAGUGGCCACCUGGCCCUGAAGGAGGAAGAACAGUGGUGGAAAAGGGUAAGAGUAUUGCUUGAGCAGAAGAAGUGUUCUCCACACCCUCAGGAGUUGCCAGGGACCAGGCCCCUCUUCCUCAGUGAGCCCUGAAGCCAAAUUCACAAGCAUGAGGAUGUCUGCCUUUUCUGAUCCAAUUCCUUGGUUGGAAACCCCAUAAUGGACAUCUGAGGAACAUGACCAUGGAAAAGAUGAAAAAUGAAAAGCAUGUUCGGAGGUGUUAUUUCAUUUAAUUCUCUUAAGCACCAGAUGAGGCCCAGAGAGCUUAAGUGACCUAGUGACCUGUCCCCGGCCACCCAACUGCACAUGGUCCCUGACUCACAAUGGUUCAACGUACAAUUUUCGACUGGAGAGGAAGCGAUAUGCCUUUGGUGGAACCCGUACCGUGUAUUUUGAAUUUGGAUCUUUUCCUGGGCUAGUGAUGUGUGGCACGAUCCUCUCCCUGGAUGCUGGGCAGUGGCAGGGAGCUGGGUUCAUAGUCAGCCACCGAUCCCAAGGCUACACAACCAACACACAACCGACCCAAAUCCCCACAAACAUUCUGGUGUUCAUUUUUAGUACAGUAGUCAAUAAAUUACAGGAGAGAGUCAACAUUUUAUUACAAAAGAGGCUUUGUGCUAGAUGGUUUUGUCCAAAUGUAGGCUAACAUAGUAUCCCGAGCAUAUUUAAAUUGAGCUAGGCUAAGCUGUGAUGUUCAGUAGGUUAGGGUAUUACACGCAUUUUCAACUUUCGGUGUUUUCAACUUACAUGGGUUUAUCAGGACAUAACCCCAUUGCAAAUCAAAGAAGAUCUAUAGCAUUUAAUAGAGCCAGAUGUCACACCGUCACCUUUCCACUACCCCGGGGUGGGGGGGGGGACCAAAACUCUAACUCAAAAUCUGCUAACAUCAAGGGCUGCAGCCCCAGGUGUCCCCCAUGCCCUUCCUGGCCCACCCGGCCAUUGCUUUUUUCUAGUAAGUUACCUCUCGCUGUGUAAUAAACCAUCCCAAGACUUAAGUUUUAGAA